rnacentral:rRNA from 1 species
AUGGAGAGUUUGAUCCUGGCUCAGGACGAACGCUGGCGGUGUGCUUCAUACAUGCAAGUCGAACGAUAAGGCGUCUUCGGACGUACAUAAGUGGCGGACGGGUGAGUAACACGUAGGGAAUCUGCCUCAAGGAGGGGGACAACAGCUGGAAACGGCUGCUAAUACCCCAUAUGAGCUAAGUUGAAAUACUUAUCUUGAAAACUCCGGUGCCUUGAGAUGAGCCUGCGUCUGAUUAGCUUGUUGGUGGGGUAAAGGCCUACCAAGGCGAUGAUCAGUAGCUGGUUUGAGAGGAUGAUCAGCCACAAUGGGACUGAGACACGGCCCAUACUCCUACGGGAGGCAGCAGUAGGGAAUUUUGCGCAAUGGGGGAAACCCUGACGCAGCAACACCGCGUGAACGAUGAAGCCCUUUGGGGUGUAAAGUUCUGUCAGUGGGGACGAAUCAAUGACGGUACCCACAGAGGAAGCACCGGCUAACUCCGUGCCAGCAGCCGCGGUAAGACGGAGGGUGCAAGCGUUGUCCGGAAUUAUUGGGCGUAAAGCGUUCGUAGGCGGCUUAUUAAGUCUGGUGUUAAAGACCGGGGCUCAACUCCGGACCAGCACUGGAUACUGGUAGGCUAGAGUGUGAUAGAGGCAAGGGGAAUUCCUAGUGUAGCGGUGAAAUGCGUAGAUAUUAGGAGGAACACCGGUGGCGAAAGCGCCUUGCUGGGUCAUUACUGACGCUGAGGAACGAGAGCCGGGGGAGCAAAUGGGAUUAGAUACCCCAGUAGUCCCGGCUGUAAACGAUGGAUACUAGGUGUUGCGGGUAUCGACCCCUGCAGUGCCGUAGUUAACGCGAUAAGUAUCCCGCCUGGGGAGUACGCACGCAAGUGUGAAACUCAAAGGAAUUGACGGGGACCCGCACAAGCGGUGGAACAUGUGGUUUAAUUCGAAGCAACGCGAAGAACCUUACCAGGGCUUGACAUUGAUGGAAUCCUGAUGAAAGUCGGGAGUGCUCUUCGGAGAGCCUGAAAACAGGUGGUGCAUGGUUGUCGUCAGCUCGUGUCGUGAGAUGUUGGGUUAAGUCCCGCAACGAGCGCAACCCUCGUCGUUAGUUGCUGGUGGCGGUAUACUGCUACCGAGCUCUCUAGCGAGACUGCUGGUGAUAAACCGGAGGAAGGUGAGGACGAGGUCAAAUCAUCAUGCCCCUUAUGCUCUGGGCUACACACGUGUUACAAUGGGUAGGACAACGAGCAGCAAGCCGGCGACGGCAAGCAAAUCUCUUAAACCUAUCCUCAGUUCGGAUUGUAGUCUGCAACUCGACUACAUGAAGCUGGAAUCGCUAGUAAACGCAGAUCAGCACGCUGCGUUGAAUACGUUCCCGGGUCUUGUACACACCGCCCGUCACACCAUGGAAGUUGACCACGCCCGAAGUACGUGAGCUAACCAUAAAGGGAGCAGCGUCCUAAGGCAGGGUUAGUGACUGGGGUGAAGUCGUAACAAGGUAGCCGUACCGGAAGGUGUGGCUGGAUCACCUCCUU